UAUAAGAGGUCCUACCUGCCCAGUGUUUAACGGCCGCGGUAUUUUGACCGUGCAAAGGUAGCGCAAUCACUUGUUUUUUAAAUAAAGACCUGUAUGAAUGGUGAAACGAGGGCUUAACUGUCUCCCUUUUCUAAUCAGUGAAAUUGAUUUACCCGUGCAGAAGCGGGUAUGAAUAUACAAGACGAGAAGACCCUAUGGAGCUUAAGAGUCUUCGGUUGGGGCGACCACGGGGGAAAACAAAUCCCCCACGCACACCUCUAAGGAUCCGGCGCCGAUCAACGGACCAAGUUACCCUAGGGAUAACAGCGCAAUCCCCUUCAAGAGUCCUUAUCGACAAGGGGGUUUACGACCUCGAUGUUGGAUCAGGACAUCCUAAUGGUGCAGCCGCUAUUAAGGGUUCGUUUGUUCAACGAUUAAAGUC
rnacentral:rRNA from 1 species